rnacentral:rRNA from 1 species
GACAGAGGGGGCAAGCGUUGCUCGGAAUCACUGGGCGUAAAGGGCGCGUAGGCGGGAUGGCAAGUCAGUCGUGAAAUCUCUCGGCUCAACCGAGAAACGUCGGCUGAUACUGCCGUUCUUGAGGGAUGCAGAGGAGACUGGAAUUCCCGGUGUAGCGGUGAAAUGCGCAGAUAUCAGGAAGAACACCCGUGGCGAAGGCGGCUCUCUGGGACGGUACUGACGCUGAGACGCGAAAGCGUGGGGAGCGAACAGG